GCAUGUAUGGAGAUCGUGUUUUAGGAACGUGAGUUUCUCGACGGACGCGAGAUAACUGGUCAGCCUGCGCGGCUGUAGGUGAAGUGCAGAACUGUAUUUUAAUCGAUAAAUACAACAGCUCCCAAAGGGCGAUUCAUUUUCUCCCCUACAGUUCGUUCCAAAUGUCUCUCCCGGAGAGGGAAGCGGGACCCCUGCGCACCUCCCUGGGCACACGCACCGGGACCGGCCGAGCUACACCGGGAGCACCGACAGAGAGCUGCCGUCCCUCCGCGCUCGGGUUUGGGCUUGGUUAGGAAAAAUGUUAUAACACGCAAAGUGCGCGGGGCGGGGAAUAGCACUUGGCAGCGAUUCACGUCCCAGAAAGGUGAAAGUGGGGCUGCGGGCCGGGUGCGGACCGCAGCCACCGGGCUGCGCGUGGAACUCAGUGGAGCCGCGCUGCUCGGCAGCCCUUGCCGUGAGAGGAAGCGCAGAGCUGCGCUCGGCUACGGCCCCGGUCUCCUGCUUCGGGUUGUGUCCGCGGCACGACUCCGCCGCGCCCCGAGGACCGCGCAGGUGGGCCGAAGCUCGGCUCCGUGUCUGCCCGCAGCCGGGAGAACAGGGCCGGCCCGACCCGCUGCCGGGACGAGGGCUGCUUCAGAAAAUCGUUUGAAGCAUCCUCUGUCCUGUUCGCCUGUUUCUGUGACUGCAGGUAGAACGACGCCGUUAACGAUUCGUUGUGACACGGCACCUUUUCAGUUCAGGCUUCUAUACCGCCGCUCGCGGAGGCUUCAUCUGAAGGCAGAACAGGGGAAGGAAAAUAUACGGUCCUCGGGGAUGCGUGCGAAAUAAGUGGGAGCCCUGCGGGGAGGAGCGCAGGGGCACCACGGACCCUGCCCUGCCCUGCCCCGCUCCGUCCCUGCCCCGGGGCUUUUGGCGGCUCGGCGGCCGUUGCAGGAGGGAAAAGGAGCGACUCGACAGCCCCGCUCCGUGCCACACGGACGGCAGAACCGAGCGGCAGGAGCGCUNNNNNNNNNNNNNNNNNNNNNNNNNNNNN
rnacentral:lncRNA from 1 species